AAUCUUGCGCAAUGGACGAAAGUCUGACGCAGCCAUGCCGCGUGAGUGAUGAAGGCCCUCGGGUCGUAAAGCUCUGUCUAAGGGGACGAAUAAGGUGCUGGUGAAUAUCCAGCGCCCCUGACGGUACCCUUAAAGAAAGCACCGGCUAACUCCGUGCCAGCAGCCGCGGUAAUACGGAGGGUGCAAGCGUUGUUCGGAAUUACUGGGCGUAAAGCGCGCGCAGGUGGCAUUGUAAGUCGGGUGUGAAAUCCCUGGGCUUAACCCAGGACGUGCGCCUGAUACUGCAACGCUAGAAUCUGGGAGAGGGAUGUGGAAUUCCUGGUGUAGAGGUGAAAUUCGUAGAGAUCAGGAGGAACACUCGUGGCGAAGGCGACAUCCUGGACCAAUAUUGACGCUGAGGAGCGAAAGCCAGGGGAGCAAAC
rnacentral:rRNA from 1 species